GUAGGGAAUAUUGGGCAAUGGAGGCAACUCUGACCCAGCCAUGCCGCGUGCAGGAAGACGGUCCUCUGGAUUGUAAACUGCUUUUGAAUGGGAAGAAACGUAGCUUUGCGAAGCUAUUUGACGGUACUAUUAGAAUAAGCACCGGCUAACUCCGUGCCAGCAGCCGCGGUAAUACGGAGGGUGCAAGCGUUAUCCGGAUUUAUUGGGUUUAAAGGGUGCGUAGGCGGCUUUAUAAGUCUGGGGUUAAAGGCGGCAGCUUAACUGUACGCAUGCCCUGGAAACUGUGAAGCUUGAGUGACUUGGAGGUAGCUAGAAUUCCCUGUGUAGCGGUGAAAUGCAUAGAUACGGGGAGGAAUACCGAUUGCGAAGGCAUGUUACUACGAGUAAACUGACGCUGAUGCACGAAAGCGUGGGGAUCAAACAGGAUUAGAUACCCCAGUAGUCC
rnacentral:rRNA from 1 species